rnacentral:lncRNA from 1 species
AUCAGCUCUACAGAGAAGAAUUCUUCACUCAAAUCCUUGAACACUUCUCUUACACCCCACAGAGCUACCAAACUUUCCAGCAACGCUACCUCAUCAACGACACCUACUGGGGCAAGAAGAAUGCUCCCAUCUUCGUUUACACCGGCAACGAAGGCAGCAUCGACUGGUUCGCCCGCAACACCGGCUUCAUGUUCGACAUCGCCCCAAAGUUCAACGCCCUCUUAGUCUUCAUCGAGGUCCGGCCAGUCUUCUUAAUAUUCACAACAACCCUGAAAAUCUCUCUCCGUCAAUAUAUAUAUGUAUAUGGUAACUGAAUUUUCCCCUGUUUCAAAUCAAUUCAAUUCAAUCCCCCUGCAGCAUAGGUUCUACGGGAAGUCGAUUCCAUUCGGAGGAGAUAAACACAAGGCGUACAAGGAUGCUAGAACACUGGGAUACCUUAGCACCACGCAAGCAUUAGCAGAUUUCGCCACGCUAAUUGUCGACCUCAAGAAGAACCUCUCCGCUACAGAGUCC